rnacentral:rRNA from 1 species
CAGCCGCCGCGGGAAUACGAAGGGGGCUAGCGUUGUUCGGAUUUACUGGGCGUAAAGGGCGCGUAGGCGGGCGAUUUAGUCAGGGGUGAAAUCCCAAGGCUCAACCUUGGAACUGCCUUUGAUACUGAUCGUCUUGAGUUCGAGAGAGGUAGGUGGAACUGCGAGUGUAGAGGUGAAAUUCGUAGAUAUUCACAAGAACACCAGUGGCGAAGGCGGCUUACUGGCUCGAUACUGACGCUGAGGCGCGAAAGCGUGGGGAGCAAAUGGGAUUAGAUACCCGUGUAGUCCCUGUCUCUUAUAC